ensembl:lncRNA
UCCGGGCAUAAAAGAAUGGCUGCCUUUGUGCGCAGGCUGGGUCACGUCCCACCCUCGCAGGGUGCCUUUUGCAAGGUGCUGCUAAUAGACAAAUUACAGUUCCAGCCUGUCAAGGCAGAUAAGAGACCAUGUGAUGCAGGCAACCCUGCAGUAGACGGGUGGCAUCGCAAGGUAAAGGUGCGCUGCGAGGCGCAGAGGAAGCAAGGAAGCGAGCGAAGUAGCCAGCCAGCCAGCAUCUCUUGCGAAGGGGGGGCGUCAAAGGGCUUCUCGCUGCUACCCGGGAGCCUAGCAGAGUUCUCCCUGGAAAAAAAUAAAAUAAAAUAAAAAGCAGUCUAUCGGUAGACAAGAUCAGCAUCCGCCCCGGUCCGAGCCCGUCGGAGAGAGACAGCAAGCAGCAUGUCCUUCAACCGAAAGAACUGGUCCGCGCUGUCCAGCCUGGCUCAACAAUGGUCUGUUGAGGAUGGAGAGGAGCAGGAGAGAGAGCGCAGGCGAAGACAUAGGCAGCUGAGUUCCACCUCUGAAACGAAGGAGGAGGAAUCCUCCAGUAGCACAGUACAGAAGGUGACCAGUCAGACACCAAACAGGGUUGAUAAUUCCUUAGAGGCAAAGCUGCUUAACUUGGAAAAUUCAGCACGGAAAAACGAGAAGAUUGAACCAGUUUCAGUAAAUAAACUGGAAGGCAGGAGAGUGAGGAGGAGAGCAGAGUUUUUAAAUAAUAUAAAACAAGAGAAGAAAAUACUAGUGAUUACUAAGAAAUUUGAAAAGGAACCUCCUGAAGAGAAUCCUACACCUCCUCCAGAAUCAUCCAAAGAAGAAGGAAGAGCAGAAAAAUACGAAGCCCCCAUUCAGCAAAAGGGUGCUUUAGAGGAAAGCCCUCAAAUCCAGAGUCAGAAAAAAGAGGAGAUCGCAGUGGAGAAACAUGAAGCCACGAAGCAUGUGAAGGACCUCAAAACAGAUGAGGAUCAGGUCUUCAAAGAGGAGGAGAAGGUCCCGAGCGUAUGUGAAUCUCAGAGACUGGCUGUGACCCAGAAUGAGGUGGCUUCUCAGGAACCUCAACGAGUUUCUUGGGAACGUAAAAGCAUCAGCAGGCUUGAGGUGAAAAUUCAGCCAAGAGCUAGAAAGUUUACUGAUCCUGCUGUAGCCACACCUGCUUCUGAGGCACCACAGGUCACAGAAAGAGCUAUUCCCAAAUUAAAUGCUAAAACUAUAAGGUCUCCCUCUGGUCAAGAAGGUUUUGAUGCUCCUAUACUAAUUUCUGAACCCCGGAUUACCUAUAGUAGCUCAUUCAACCGGAUCAGUCCAAGGACAAUCUCAUUCCGGGUAAGGAUUUAUUACAAAUUAUGAAAAGAUCACUUAUUUAAAAAUGAAAUCUACAGCAUGGGUGUCAAACUCACGUCAUAGCGGCAUCACGUGAUGUAUCGGGACUUUCUCCCCCUUUGCUAAACUGGGUGUGGAUGUGGCCAGUAUGUGACACAUCCAGCCAAGAGGCUGUGAGUUUGACAGCCCUAUGUCCUAUAGCAAUGACACAAGUAAUAUUCUACUUGCACAAAGGCAAUGAGGCUGCACGACUACCACUGCAAUAUUUUUUUACAUAUAAAGUGCAGAUAAUUGCCGAGGGUAAGGUUACCCAACAUUUGUAUGUGUCUGGGCUAAUCUUUGACCUUCCAAAAUAUAAUAUGUAUAACCAAGGCAAAAUUGAUUUUGAUUGUAUUUUAUCUACAUUUAAACUUAAUGAAAACUAAAUAUAACCAACAUGAUUAUUCCCCAGGCCAAC